GAGUAACGCGUAGGUAACCUGCCUUGUAGCGGGGGAUAACUAUUGGAAACGAUAGCUAAUACCGCAUAACAAUGGGUGACCCAUGUCAUUCCAUUUGAAAGGGGCAACUGCUCCACUACAAGAUGGACCUGCGUUGUAUUAGCUAGUAGGUGAGGUAACGGCUCACCUAGGCGACGAUACAUAGCCGACCUGAGAGGGUGAUCGGCCACACUGGGACUGAGACACGGCCCAGACUCCUACGGGAGGCAGCAGUAGGGAAUCUUCGGCAAUGGGGGCAACCCUGACCGAGCAACGCCGCGUGAGUGAAGAAGGUUUUCGGAUCGUAAAGCUCUGUUGUAAGUCAAGAACGACUGUGAGAGUGGAAAGUUCACACUGUGACGUAGC
rnacentral:rRNA from 1 species